rnacentral:rRNA from 1 species
GAUGAACGCUGGCGGCGUGCUUAACACAUGCAAGUCGAACGGAGCAUUUAAAGCGGAGUUUUCGGACAAAGCAGUAAAUGACUUAGUGGCGGACGGGUGAGUAACGCGUGGGCAACCUGCCUUAUACAGGGGGAUAACAGCCGGAAACGGCUGCUAAUACCGCAUGAGCACACAGUACCGCAUGGUACAGGGUGAAAAGAUUGUAUCGGUAUAAGAUGGGCCCGCGUCUGAUUAGCUAGUUGGUGGGGCAGAGGCCUACCAAGGCGACGAUCAGUAGCCGGCUUGAGAGAGUGACCGGCCACAUUGGGACUGAGACACGGCCCAGACUCCUACGGGAGGCAGCAGUGGGGAAUAUUGCACAAUGGGGGAAACCCUGAUGCAGCGACGCCGCGUGAAGGAAGAAGGUUCUCGGAUCGUAAACUUCUAUCAGCAAGGAAGAUAAUGACGGUACUUGACUAAGAAGCCCCGGCUAACUACGUG